rnacentral:tRNA from 1 species
CUAUUUUGGCAGAAAAAAUGUGUUAAAUUUAGGAUUUAAAUAUGUAAGAAUUUACAGAUAGAA